UUUCUUACCGGCUCUUCUCAGUAGAAUCUGUAUUCCGAACUGGUAGUAGAGUCACAGACGUAGCAUAAGAGACACUUGUUG